rnacentral:rRNA from 1 species
CCUACGGGUGGCAGCAGUAGGGAAUCUUCCACAAUGGGCGAAAGCCUGAUGCAGCAACGCCGCGUUGGUGAAGAAGGUCUUCGGAUCGUAAAACCCUGUUGUUAGAGAAGAAAGUGCGUGAGAGUAACUGUUCACGUUUCGACGGUAUCUAACCAGAAAGCCACGGCUAACUACGUGCCAGCAGCCGCGGUAAUACGUAGGUGGCAAGCGUUAUCCGGAUUUAUUGGGCGUAAAGGGAACGCAGGCGGUCUUUUAAGUCUGAUGUGAAAGCCUUCGGCUUAACCGGAGUAGUGCAUUGGAAACUGGGAGACUUGAGUGCAGAAGAGGAGAGUGGAACUCCAUGUGUAGCGGUGAAAUGCGUAGAUAUAUGGAAGAACACCAGUGGCGAAAGCGGCUCUCUGGUCUGUAACUGACGCUGAGGUUCGAAAGCGUGGGUAGCAAACAGGAUUAGAUACCCCUGUAGUC